GACGAACGCUGGCGGCGUGCUUAACACAUGCAAGUCGAACGAAGUGGCGAACGGGUGAGUAACGCGUAAUCAACCUGCCCUUCAGAGGGGGACAACAGUUGGAAACGACUGCUAAUACCGCAUACUGAAGGCGUGGUUAGCGUCUUAUUAGCUAGUUGGAGGGGUAACGGCCCACCAAGGCGAUGAUCAGUAUCCGGUCUGAUAGGAUGAACGGCCACAUUGAGUCUGAGACACGACCCAGACUCCUACGGGAGGCAGAAGGGGGGAAUCUUCCGCAAUGGACGAAAGUCUGACGGAGCAACGCCGCGUGAGUGAUGACGGCCUUCUGGUUGGAAAGCUCUGUUAAUCGGGACGCGGUACCGGAAUAGAAAGCCACGGCUAACUACGUGCCAGCUGCCGCGGUAAUAC
rnacentral:rRNA from 1 species